CCCCCGCCGUCACAUCGACCGGGUGAUCCAUGAAUCCAUGAUCCAUCAGUCUGCCUAUCCUGGUAUAACACCUCCAUCUCCACCGACCUUUCCAUCCUCUUCCUCCUUAAUUUCAACCCUUUCAGAUACUAGCUAUCAUGCACAAUCUCUGGUCGUGGCUUGACUCUUGAGGAGCUAGCUAGAUAGGAGAAAUGAUGGAAACUUUGGUUCAAACCCAACUUUCAAAUCACAGGUUAAGAUCGCAUCAUCAGACCAUAAAACAAUUAAUGGAAUGUUUUAGUUAAGGGACAUUUUCUGUCUCUGUGAAAUGUAUGCACUAAAUUUAUAGUUCUUUCUUUUCUCAUAUCGACAAUGUUAAUCUUGGACAGUAGAGGGAGAAGAGAUGUAUCUUGAACUGUUACAUCCCAAGAGAUAUGCCAACACUGAAAUGAAGGGAGUCUCAUUCCACUACAUCAGAAUAAUUUACACACAAAAUCCACAGCUAAAGAUUGAUUCAGCACACUGACAGCAAAAUCCAGCAAACAGAAUCAAAAUUAUCCUUCUGUCGAAAACGCAAAGUCGAGACUGAAUGCAAGUAUACUAACGCCUUCAUAUUUUUUUUAUGGUCAUCAGUUCAUCUCAUCAUUUCAAACCGAACGAAUGGUACCGCACCGCAUCGCACUGCUUUACUGUCAUCUCAAAACAUACACAUCGUGUAAUCCAAUCCAACAAAGUUGCAAUCACCGUCAUCCAGGCCACAUUCCAAGAUCUACAGGCUUUAUUUACAUGAUUACAUGUAGUAGCUUCUGAAAGUCUUCAGACUUCAGAGUCCAGUAAUCCAGUAUAACCCAAUCUAACAAAGUUCAUUACAUUGCAUCAUAUGAACACAUGACCAUUCUAACUUCAGGACAAGUUGUUGCCCUUUAUUUCAUUUUCAACCAUGAGAAAAAUUUCAGUCUCAUGGAAGCAUAAUGGAAGCUAAGAUAGACUGAUCUCUGAAAUCUGAACUGACAGGCACAAUAUAACCCUAUCUUGCAAGUGAGGAGUUAACAGGGAGAAAGAAAGUCAGGCAGAAGAGGGAAACGUUAGUGCUGACACACUCUCCAGCAUGAUGGAACCAGCUAGCUAAUUUUGUUAACUCUGCAGUGCCUUGUGCGUAAGAACCCAUUAACGAUUUCAAAGAUGAUAUUUUGUCACAAUGCUAGCUGGAAAAAAUGCAUGUCAAAUGUACUAUGAAUCAUGUGGUCGAAGAUUGUGUACCAGUUCAUCGGUUUGCAGUAUCUGUGGUACUCUCCUCUCUUCUUCAGACAAACCAAAGUUGAGUCUUUGAUUAGUUAACAUGAUCAGAUAGAUAGAUAGAAGCUUCUACUAUCUCUACAUGUUGUUCAGCAGACAGAGUAUCUAUGUACGUUUUACUGUGUCCACAAAUCCAAAGUAGUAGAGAUUAUGAUACUCAAGCAAUGAUAAUAAUCGUGAUAAUAAAAAGUUAGUGGCA
rnacentral:lncRNA from 1 species